rnacentral:rRNA from 1 species
UACGGGGGGGGGCAAGCGUUGUUCGGAAUUACUGGGCGUAAAGGGCUCGUAGGCGGCCAACUAAGUCAGACGUGAAAUCCCUCGGCUUAACCGGGGAACUGCGUCUGAUACUGGAUGGCUUGAGUUUGGGAGAGGGAUGCGGAAUUCCAGGUGUAGCGGUGAAAUGCGUAGAUAUCUGGAGGAACACCGGUGGCGAAGGCGGCAUCCUGGACCAACACUGACGCUGAGUGAGCGAAAGCCAGGGGAGCAAAGCGGG